rnacentral:rRNA from 1 species
GAUCCGGUGGUUCUGAAUGGAAGGGCCAUCGCUCAACGGAUAAAAGGUACUCCGGGGAUAACAGGCUGAUACCGCCCAAGAGUUCAUAUCGACGGCGGUGUUUGGCACCUCGAUGUCGGCUCAUCACAUCCUGGGGCUGAAGUAGGUCCCAAGGGUAUGGCUGUUCGCCAUUUAAAGUGGUACGCGAGCUGGGUUUAGAACGUCGUGAGACAGUUCGGUCCCUAUCUGCCGUGGGCGUUGGAGAAUUGGUUGGGGCUGCUCCUAGUACGAGAGGACCGGAGUGGACGCACCACUGGUGUUCCGGUUGUGUCGCCAGACGCAUUGCCGGGUAGCUAAGUGCGGAAGAGAUAAGUGCUGAAAGCAUCUAAGCACGAAACUUGCCAAGAGAUGAGUUCUCCCACACAUCAAGUGUGUAAGGGUUGUUUAAGACUAAGACGUAGAUAGGCAGGGUGUGUAAGUGAUGUGAGUCAUUGAGCUAACCUGUACUAAUUGCCCGAGAGGCUUAACUAUACAACGCUCAAG